CAUGCCGCGUGUGUGAAGAAGGCCUUCGGGUUGUAAAGCACUUUCAGCGAGGAGGAAAGGUUAGUAGUUAAUAACUGCUAGCUGUGACGUUACUCGCAGAAGAAGCACCGGCUAACUUCGUGCCAGCAGCCGCGGUAAUACGAGGGGUGCAAGCGUUAAUCGGAAUUACUGGGCGUAAAGCGUGCGUAGGUGGUUUGUUAAGCAAGAUGUGAAAGCCCCGGGCUCAACCUGGGAACUGCAUUUUGAACUGGCAAACUAAGUAUUGUAAGGGUAGUGGAAUUUCCAGUGUACGGUGAAAUGCGUAAGAUUGGAAGGAACAUCAGUGGCGAAGGCGGCUACCUGGACAAAUACUGACACUGAGGCACGAAAGCGUGGGGAGCAAACAGGAUUAGAUACCCUGGUAGUCCACGCCGUAAACGAUGUCAACUAGCCGUCUGUCGACCUUGAGUCGUGGGUGGCGCAGCUAACGCACUAAUGUUGACCGCCUGGGGAGUACGGCCGCAAGGUUAAAACUCAAAUGAAUUGACGGGGGCCCGCACAAGCGGUGGAGCAUGU
rnacentral:rRNA from 1 species